rnacentral:rRNA from 1 species
GACGAACGCUGGCGGCGUGCUUAACACAUGCAAGUCGAACGGAAAGGCCCUGCUUUUGUGGGGUGCUCGAGUGGCGAACGGGUGAGUAACACGUGAGUAACCUGCCCUUGACUUUGGGAUAACUUCAGGAAACUGGGGCUAAUACCGGAUAGGAGCUCCUGCUGCAUGGGGGGGGUUGGAAAGUUUCGGCGGUUGGGGAUGGACUCGCGGCUUAUCAGCUUGUUGGUGGGGUAGUGGCUUACCAAGGCUUUGACGGGUAGCCGGCCUGAGAGGGUGACCGGCCACAUUGGGACUGAGAUACGGCCCAGACUCCUACGGGAGGCAGCAGUGGGGAAUAUUGCACAAUGGGCGGAAGCCUGAUGCAGCAACGCCGCGUGCGGGAUGACGGCCUUCGGGUUGUAAACCGCUUUCGCCUGUGACGAAGCGUUAGUGACGGUAAUGGGUAAAGAAGCACCGGCUAACUACGUG